AUGAAGCUGAGGUUAAUGGCGAAGGAGCCAGCGAGGACUGUGAAGGAGAUUCUUGGAACGUGUGUUUCUGUUUGUGUACUGUUGAUGGGAAGGAUCCAAAGGAUUUGCAACAGGAGAUCAAUGAUGGUGAUGUUGAAAUCCUCGGGAUUUAUUUUUUUUAAACUUUGUUAUCUUUUGAUCAAGCCAUAUUUUUUGCUAAAUAACCAGAUUUCACAUUCCAUGCCAUUUCUUGGUGAAUCUACCUACACAUAUACUUCCUUUACGUGA